rnacentral:tRNA from 2 species
UUGGACUUAAACCCCAAAAAUAAAGUUUAAGCUUUUUUUAGAA